rnacentral:rRNA from 1 species
CAGCAGCCGCGGUAACACGAAGGGUGCAAGCGUUACUCGGAAUUACUGGGCGUAAAGCGUGCGUAGGUGGUGGUUUAAGUCCGUUGUGAAAGCCCUGGGCUCAACCUGGGAAUUGCAGUGGAUACUGGAUCACUAGAGUGUGGUAGAGGAUAGUGGAAUUUCCGGUGUAGCAGUGAAAUGCGUAGAGAUCGGGAGGAACAUCAGUGGCGAAGGCGGCCAUCUGGGACAACACUGACGCUGAGGCACGAAAGCGUGGGGAGCAAACAGGAUUAGAUACCCGCGUAGUCCCUGUCUCUUAUAC